UCCCGUGUGGCUCAGUUGGUAGAGCAUGGUGUUUGCAACGCCAGGGGUUGUGGGUUCGAUUCCCACGGGGGAA
rnacentral:tRNA from 1 species